AAGGUUGACCUCGGAUCAGGUA
rnacentral:rRNA from 1 species